GAUGAACGCUGGCGGCGUGCCUAAUACAUGCAAGUCGAGCGAACAGACGAGGAGCUUGCUCCUCUGACGUUAGCGGCGGACGGGUGAGUAACACGUGGAUAACCUACCUAUAAGACUGGGAUAACUUCGGGAAACCGGAGCUAAUACCGGAUAAUAUAUUGAACCGCAUGGUUCAAUAGUGAAAGACGGUUUUGCUGUCACUUAUAGAUGGAUCCGCGCCGCAUUAGCUAGUUGGUAAGGUAACGGCUUACCAAGGCAACGAUGCGUAGCCGACCUGAGAGGGUGAUCGGCCACACUGGAACUGAGACACGGUCCAGACUCCUACGGGAGGCAGCAGUAGGGAAUUUUCCGCAAUGGGCGAAAGCCUGACGGAGCAAAGCCGCGUGAGUGAUGAAGGUCUUCGGAUCGUAAAACCCUGUUAUUAGGGAAGAACAAAUGUGUAAGUAACUAUGCACGUCUUGACGGUACCUAAUCAGAAAGCCACGGCUAACUACGUG
rnacentral:rRNA from 1 species